GAAGAACUUUGUGUCUAAUCUUAUGGAUUGGAAAGCUAUUCUGCUUUGCCACAUGGUGAUUGUGUAGCUCGGAGAUUCCAUUUAUGUGAUGGCAAGGAGAGAGCAACACGGAAUAAGAAAGGCAGUAAAUGCCAGCAUCGGUCUGCACAAUCACCAUGAGGCAAAGAAGAAUAGCUUUCCCUUCCAUAAGAGUAGACACAAAGUUCUUCUCCUCUCUAUUUGGGUGUAAAGAAGCUUACCUAAUUAUAUCUUUAUACAUUGAUUUGUAGGUCGAGAACAUUUACUCCCUAUCUCAUUCAGGUGGUGUUUGGUUCUCUAGUCCUAGGACUUUUUCUAGUCCCAACUAAAAAGUCCCUAGUCCCUAAAAAGUCCCUCCCUGUUUGUUUCCAGAGACUAAAAAGUCCCUAGUCCCUUCCUAGAGGUUAUUAAAUGACCAUGUUGCCCCUAGUAUAUAGAAAAAUAACAAUCAAACAACACCAUGUGAUGGCGGGUCAAUGGGUGCAUGGAGGGGCAUUAUUGAAAAAGUCCCAAAAAGUCUCAAAAAGACUCUCCUUGAGAGUCUUCUUCAUUUAGUCCCAAAUGCCUAGUUUAGUCCCUAAAAAGUCCCUCCCGUUUGGUAAAAAAGUCUCUAAGAAGGACUUUUUCUAGUCCCUACACAAAAAAGUCCCUAGAAACAAACACCCCCUCAAUUAGAUCAUGGUUAAUAGUAUAGACAGCUGUUGGCUAUAUGGUCUUGUCACAUCAUCUAUAGCCAAGCUUAUAGCCGGCAAGUACAAUAGUUGCAUGUAAAUAUGUACUAUUUUUUAUAUAUGGCCCACCUCCCUCUCUCACAACAUGCCUAGGAGCACGUGUUGCAGCCGGCUGUUAAUCAGUAGCCCGCUUCCCUUCUCUCUCUCCUCCAACUCAUCCAAAAUAUAAUAUUUAAAGGCUUACAGCCCGCCUACAUCAUUCUAUUGUACUUGCUCUUAAGAUAAGAAAGAUCAGAGCAUAUCAUUGUCCA